rnacentral:rRNA from 1 species
UACGUAGGGUGCAAGCGUUGUCCGGAAUUAUUGGGCGUAAAGAGCUCGUAGGCGGUCUGUCGCGUCUGCUGUGAAAACUCGGGGCCUAACCCCGGGCCUGCAGUGGGUACGGGCAGACUAGAGUGCGGUAGGGGAGACUGGAAUUCCUGGUGUAGCGGUGAAAUGCGCAGAUAUCAGGAGGAACACCGAUGGCGAAGGCAGGUCUCUGGGCAUUAACUGACGCUGAGGAGCGAAAGCAUGGGGAGCGAACAGG